rnacentral:rRNA from 1 species
CAAUAGCGUAUAUUAAAGUUGUUGCAGUUAAAAAGCUCGUAGUUGGAUUUGUGGUUUGUCCCGCCUGCCGGGCCUUUUUGGGCCUGCGCGGCGCGGGUCAUCCAUCCUUGGGUGGAAUCCGUGUGGCAUUAGGUUGUCGCGCGGGGGAUGCCCAUCUUUUACUGUGAAAAAAUUAGAGUGUUCAAAGCAGUCUUACGACGUUGAAUAUAUUAGCAUGGAAUAAUGAUAUAGGACCUUGGUACUAUUUUGUUGGUUUGCGCGCUGAGGUAAUGAUUAACAGGGACAGUUGGGGGUAUUCGUAUUCCAUUGUAAGAGGUGAAAUUCUUGGAUUUUUGGAAGACGAACUACUGCGAAAGCAUUUACCAAGGAUGUUUUCAUUAA